GCCCUGAUAGUUCAGUGGAUAGAACGAGUCCCUCCUAAGGACUAGACGUGGGUUCGAUUCCCGCUCGGGGCG
rnacentral:tRNA from 1 species